rnacentral:rRNA from 1 species
GAUGAACGCUGGCGGCGUGCCUAAUACAUGCAAGUCGAGCGAAUGGAUUAAGAGCUUGCUCUUAUGAAGUUAGCGGCAGACGGGUGAGUAACACGUGGGUAACCUGCCCAUAAGACUGGGAUAACUCCGGGAAACCGGGGCUAAUACCGGAUCACAUUUUGAACCGCAUGGUUCGAAAUUGAAAGGCGGCUUCGGCUGUCACUUAUGGAUGGACCCGCGUCGCAUUAGCUAGUUGGUGAGGUUACGGCUCACCAAGGAAACGACGCGUAGCCGACCUGAGAGGGUGAUCGGCCACACUGGGACUGAGACACGGCCCAGACUCCUACGGGAGGCAGCAGUAGGGAAUCUUCCGCAAUGGACGAAAGUCUGACGGAGCAACGCCGCGUGAGUGAUGAAGGCUUUCGGGUCGUAAAACUCUGUUGUUAGGGAAGAACAAGUGCUAGUUGAAUAAGCUGACACCUUGACGGUACCUAACCAGAAAGCAACGGCUAACUACGUGCCAGCCGCCGCAGUAA